UACGUAGGGUGCAAGCGUUGUCCGGAAUUAUUGGGCGUAAAGAGCUCGUAGGCGGUCUGUCGCGUCUGCUGUGAAAACUCAGGGCUUAACCCUGAGCUUGCAGUGGGUACGGGCAGACUAGAGUGCGGUAGGGGAGACUGGAAUUCCUGGUGUAGCGGUGAAAUGCGCAGAUAUCAGGAGGAACACCGGUGGCGAAGGCGGGGUCU
rnacentral:rRNA from 1 species